GGCCCUGUAGUGAAGUUCACGAUGAGUUGCAAACUCGUAGAUGCACGUUAACUGUGUGCCGGGGUUU
rnacentral:tRNA from 1 species